rnacentral:misc_RNA from 1 species
UACGGAGGGGGCAAGCGUUAUUCGGAUUUACUGGGCGUAAAGGGUGCGUAGGCGGCUGCGCAAGUCUGGCGUGAAAUCUUCACCGCUUAACGGGAAGAGGUCGUUGGAAACUGCGUAGCUCGAGUGUGGUAGAGGCAAGCGGAAUUCCUGGUGUAGCGGUGGAAUGUGUAGAUAUCAGGAAGAACACCCGUGGCGAAGGCGGCUUGCUGGGCCAUCACUGACGCUGAGGCACGAAAGCGUGGGGAGCAAACGGG